GUCAGUAAAAUGAGAGAACCAUGAAGAAACAAAUGCAAAAAAAAAAAAAAAAUGCUAGACAGAUUUCCUAAAAAGGGCUAGAAAAAGACUCAUAGUGGCUCACAGCAGCAAACUGUGGACAUCAAUUUCCAGCUUGGUGAUCAGUGUCUUUAUGUUAGUACCCUGAAAUCAGUAUGCAUGGGAACUGUUAUACCACUGAAAUCAGCAACAGCUACAAGUCAGAGUCAGUUUACCAGGACACUGUAGUGCUUAGGUGCUCAUUCUUGAAAUCCUAGAAUGCUUAAUACUAGUGUCUCUGGGAGCCAUUCACAAAUUUUAAACAACCAGAGAGACAGAUCCAAUCAGCAUUCAAGGUGUAACAGUCUUGCAUUACCACAGAAGACUCCUGCUGUCAAUAUUACAUCAUAAACAAUCCAUCAGAUCCCAUCCUGAGAGCUGAUCUCAACAGGGCAUAAGGAGAGAGGACCUGAGAACCCUUGUUUACCAAUGGGAUGAAUAGAAGAAAAUCCACCAGUGCAGCAAAUGGACUCAAAAAGUAUGAACUCAUCAAUAACAUUGCAUUCAACUGACCACUUAGAACAGAAGAAACUGCCUUCCUUCAUGGUGCAGACAGAAUAUGGAUGUGGCAAGGAAGUGGCCAGGAAACAGAGCACAGAGAGAAGAGUAAUCCAAACUGAUCAUCCCAGGGGCCCCUGUUCUUUUGGAGACCAAGUCUUCUACCCAACUGUAGCAACCAAUCAAGUAAGCACAGAGCCAACAUGGCUACCGGGUUCCUUACACCUGUGGUCACCGGAUUCAUGAGGAGAAAGAGUGAGCUGCAAUCAAGAUAACGGAAACUGAGCCAUUUCGAGCUGGUACCCUUCUAAAUAUGUUUCAGUUGUCCAGAAUAAUUGCUUCCAAUAAAGGCCAAACAUACAAUUCUGACA
rnacentral:lncRNA from 13 species